rnacentral:rRNA from 1 species
GGAUGAACGCUAGCGGCAGGCUUAAUACAUGCAAGUCGAGGGGCAGCAUGGUUGUAGCAAUACAACUGAUGGCGACCGGCAAACGGGUGCGGAACACGUACGCAAUCUACCCAAAACUGAUGAAUAGCCCUCCGAAAGGAGGAUUAAUACAUCGUAACUUAAUGAAGUGGCAUCACCUUAUUAAUAUAGCUCCGGCGGUUUUGGAUGAGCGUGCGCCUGAUUAGGUAGUUGGCGGGGUAACGGCCCACCAAGCCAGCGAUCAGUAACUGGUGUGAGAGCACGACCAGUCACACGGGCACUGAGACACGGGGCCCGACUCCUACGGGNGGCAGCAGUAAGGAAUAUUGGUCAAUGGACGCAAGUCUGAACCAGCC